rnacentral:rRNA from 1 species
GCUCCUUGAUUCAGCGGCGGACGGGGGAGUAAUGCCUAGGAAUCUGCCUGGUAGUGGGGGACAACGUUUCGAAAGGAACGCUAAUACCGCAUACGUCCUACGGGCAGAAAGCAGGGGACCUUCGGGCCUUGCGCUAUCAGAUGAGCCUAGGUCGGAUUAUCUAGUUGGUGAGGUAAUGGCUCACCAAGGCGACGAUCCGUAACUGGUCUGAGAGGAUGAUCAGUCACACUGGAACUGAUACACGGACCACACUCCUACGGGAGGCAGCAGUGGGGAAUAUUGGACAAUGGGCGAAACCCUGAUCCAGCCAUGCCGCGUGUGUGAAGAAGGUCUUCGCAUUGUAAAACACUUUAAGUUGGGAGGAAAGGCAAUAAGAUAAUACCUUGCUGUUUUGACUUUACCAACAGAAUAAGCACCGGCUAACUCUGUGCCAACAUCCGCGGUAAUACAGAGGGUGCAAGGUUUAAUCGGAAUUACUGGGCGUAAACCGCGCGUAGGUGGUUCGUUAAGUUGGAUGUGAAAGCCCCGGGCUCAACCUGGGAACUGCAUCCAAAACUGGCGAGCUAGAGUACGGUAGAGGGUGGCGGAAUUUCCUGUGUAGCGGUGAAAUGCUUAUAUAUAGGAAGGAACACCAGUGCCACAAGGCGACCACCUGGACUGAUACUGACACUGAUGUGCGAAAGCGUGUGGAGCUCACAGGAUGAGAUACCCUGGUACUCCACGCC